GGGGCGACUACUUCAGUCUAGAGGGUCCAAGUUCAUACUGUCCUUACGACUACGUGGACAUUUCAGAGUAUGCCACUGGAGAGAGUUUGACCGGAAGGAUUUGUGGCAGUGAAAUUCCGCCAUCUGUUACAAGCCAGAGCAACUUGGUCGUUGUGACUUUCAUCAGCGAUCUUUCUGUAACCUUAACAGGAUUCAGACUUAAUUUUCAGGCUGUUCCAGGUGGUGUAAUCUCCACAUAAGCAAGCCAGCGAUAAAAUACCCAGGUCAGCUGCUUCUAAGAAGACGACACCCUAGUAAAAGCAAGCAAGAAAAAUGGUGGGGUGGAGCUGGUUAACCUGAGAGCUCAAAGAACAACUAGAGAUGAAACACCUCACUAAGACCUUCCAUUACAUUUGAGCAGCUGUUGCUGCGUAGUACAGUGGUUUCUUAAAAUAGCAGGAAAUGAUUUCAGUCAAGACUGCUUUGGGUUAACUGGCGUAGUAGUAUUUUCAUGAGGUUUGUGUAAACAUGAUGAUCUGAGAAAUAUAACAACUAGGUUUAGAUUUAAUUUAUAAAGCUUAGAACACGACAAUUCACUAACAGUGGCCACAUCCAAGUCUCCUACAACAACCAGGAUCUAACUGAAGAAAAACUCUCCUACAACAACCUGGGACUAAUGAAGAAAAACUCCAACAACAGGCAUACCAGGACUGAACAAUUGAUUUAUUAUUAAUUUAUAUAAUAUGGUCACUGACGAAGGAAUUUUUCAUUUUCAUACAAAAUCAUGAAAACUUCUUUCUGGUAUUUUCAUGUUACAUAUUGAUUGCCUAAGUUCACAAAUACGCCCUUUUGACAUCUACAAUAAAAGAAUACUUGUAAGUAUGUUAACUUAGGUUAGAUUGAUUAAAGUACUGUGAGCUCUAAAUUGAAAAAUGAGACAUCUAUCUAUUAAAGGAUAUUUGGGGCUUAAUGCAUAUAUAUAUUGUCCACCUUACAACCUAAAUAAAAAAAAUGCCACUGAAAGUGAUCUUAUUAUA